rnacentral:lncRNA from 1 species
GGUGCUGCUGGGCAGCAGGGACAGCCAGGUGAAGGGAAGCUCUCACUCAGCUCCACGCCAGGAGCCAGAAGACGCAAACCAAAAGACAGCAGAGGCGUUCAACCUCUGAACAGAAACCGCCCCUCUCCCCGGAGCGUCCAAUUACCCCCGAGGAGCCCCAUUGCCACCGCUCCUCCUUUUCCUCCAGGAGGAACGGAAGCCGUGAUUUCAGUGCCUGCACCACGCAGCACCGCCGCCCCAUCAGUACUCAUCCAACGUGUCAGCCCUGGGCACCGCCAGGCCGCGCUCCUUCAGCGCCUGCACCUUCAGCUUCUCCGACUCCUGCUUGGCCUGCAGCUCCACGCGCUGCUCCUCCAGGAUCUCCUCGAUGGACACCUGCUGCAGCAGCGUGUCGCUCUCCUUCUCCAGGUCCUGCAAGCAAAGAGCUGCGUUAGCAGAGCUGCGGGGCGGGGGGCUGCGGGGCGCGGGGCUCACUCACGAUCUCCCCCAGCAGCACCACGUUCUCUCCCCUCACGACGAAGAUCCCUCGGGGGAUGUCCCCAUACUUCUUGCCCACGUGAAUGCGCUCCACGGUCUGAUGCAGCACCAGAUUUGCUG